rnacentral:rRNA from 1 species
GAUGAACGCUGGCGGCGUGCUUAACACAUGCAAGUCGAACGGAAAGGCCGAAGCUUGCUUCGGUACUCGAGUGGCGAACGGGUGAGUAACACGUGGGUGAUCUGCCCUGUACUUCGGGAUAAGCUUGGGAAACUGGGUCUAAUACCGGAUAUGACGAUCUCUUGGAUGGGGUUGUGGAAAGCUUUUGCGGUAUGGGAUGAGCUCGCGGCCUAUCAGCUUGUUGGUGGGGUAAUGGCCUACCAAGGCGUCGACGGGUAGCCGGCCUGAGAGGGUGUACGGCAACAUUGGGAAUGAGAUACGGCCCAGACUCCGACGGGAGGCAGAAGUGGGGAAUAUUGCACAAUGGGCGCAAGCCUGAUGCAGCGACGCCGCGUGGGGGAUGACGGCCUUCGGGUUGUAAACUCCUUUCGCAAUCGACGAAGCCUUUUGGUGACGGUAGGUUGAGAAGAAGCACCGGCUAACUACGUG